UACGUAGGGGGCGAGCGUUGUCCGGAUUCAUUGGGCGUAAAGAGCUCGUAGGCGGCUUACUAAGUCGAGUGUGAAACCUCCAGGCUCAACCUGGAGCCUGCACUUGAUACUGGUAUGGCUUGAGUCCGGUAGGGGACCACGGAAUUCCUGGUGUAGCGGUGAAAUGCGUAGAUAUCUGGAGGAAUACCGGUGGCGAAGGCGGCAUCCUGGACCGGCAUUGACGCUGAGGAGCGAAAAGCUAGGGGAGCAAACGGG
rnacentral:rRNA from 1 species